AGCAGCCACGGUAAUUCCAGCUCCAAUAGCGUAUAUUAAAGUUGCUGCAGUUAAAAAGCUCGUAGUUGAAUUUCGGGACCAUCAUGUCGGUCGUGCCUCGGUACGUACUGGCAUUGUUGGUUUCUUCCUUCUGACGAACCAUGAUGUCAUUUAUUUGGUGUCGUGGGAAAUCAGGACUGUUACUUUGAAAAAAUUAGAGUGUUUAAAGCAGGCUCACGCUUGAAUACAUUAGCAUGGAAUAAUGAAAUAGGAUGUUUGAUUCUAUUUUGUUGGUUUUUAGGAUCGACGUAAUGAUUAAUAGGGAUAGUUGGGGGCAUUAGUAUUCAAUUGUCAGAGGUGAAAUUCUUGGAUUUAUUGAAGACUAACUACUGCAAAAGCAUUUGCCAAGGAUGUUUUCAUUAAUCAAGAACGAAAGUUAGGAUCGAAGACGAUCAGAUACCGUCGUAGUCUUAACCAUAAACUAUGCCGACUAGGAAUCAGAUGAUGUUAAUUUUUUAAUGACUCAUUCGGCGCCUUACGG
rnacentral:rRNA from 1 species